rnacentral:rRNA from 1 species
UGGGGAAUUUUGGACAAUGGGCGCAAGCCUGAUCCAGCAAUGCCGCGUGCAGGAUGAAGGCCUUCGGGUUGUAAACUGCUUUUGUACGGAACGAGACGGCUCUGUCUAAUACAUGGGGCUAAUGACGGUACCGUAAGAAUAAGCACCGGCUAACUACGUGCCAGCAGCCGCGGUAAUACGUAGGGCGCAAGCGUUAAACGGAAUUACUGGGCGUAAAGCGUGCGCAGGCGGUUAUAUAAGACAGAUGUGAAAUCCCCGGGCUCAACCUGGGAACUGCAUUUGUGACUGUAUAGCUAGAGUACGGCAGAGGGGGAUGGAAUUCCGCGUGUAGCAGUGAAAUGCGUGGAUAUGCGGAGGAACACCGAUGGCGAAGGCAAUCCCCUGGGCCUGUACUGACGCUCAUGCACGAAAGCGUGGGGAGCAAACA